GUGCCAGCAGCCGCGGUAAUACGUAGGGUGCGAGCGUUGUCCGGAAUUAUUGGGCGUAAAGAGCUCGUAGGCGGUCUGUCGCGUCGAUCGUGAAAACUUGGGGCUUAACCCUGAGCUUGCGGUCGAUACGGGCAUGACUGGAGUUCGGCAGGGGAGACUGGAAUUCCUGGUGUAGCGGUGAAAUGCGCAGAUAUCAGGAGGAACACCGGUGGCGAAGGCGGGUCUCUGGGCCGAUACUGACGCUGAGGAGCGAAAGCGUGGGGAGCGAACAGGAUUAGAAACCCUCGUAGUCC
rnacentral:rRNA from 1 species